rnacentral:rRNA from 1 species
UACGGGGGGGGCUAGCGUUGUUCGGAAUUACUGGGCGUAAAGGGCUCGUAGGCGGCCAACUAAGUCAGACGUGAAAUCCCUCGGCUCAACCGGGGAACUGCGUCUGAUACUGGAUGGCUUGAAUCCGGAAGAGGGAUGCGGAAUUCCAGGUGUAGCGGUGAAAUGCGUAGAUAUCUGGAGGAACACCGGUGGCGAAGGCGGCAUCCUGGGUCGGAAUUGACGCUGAGGAGCGAAAGCCAGGGGAGCAAACGGG